rnacentral:rRNA from 1 species
UACGGAGGGUGCGAGCGUUGUCCGGAAUCACUGGGCGUAAAGGGCGCGUAGGCGGCCUGAUAAGUAGGGGGUGAAAUCCUGCGGCUUAACCGCAGGGCUGCCUUCUAAACUGUCAGGCUCGAGCACAGUAGAGGCAGGUGGAAUUCCCGGUGUAGCGGUGGAAUGCGUAGAGAUCGGGAAGAACACCAGUGGCGAAGGCGGCUCGCUGGGCUUUACCUGACGCUGAGGCGCGAAAGCGUGGGGAGCGAACCGG